rnacentral:rRNA from 1 species
UACGUAGGUGGCAAGCGUUGUCCGGAGUUAUUGGGCGUAAAGCGCGCGCAGGCGGUGCGGUAAGUCUCUGGUGAAAGCGCUCGGCUUAACUGGGCGAGGGCCGGGGAGACUGCCACGCUGGAGGGGAGCAGAGGCGAGUGGAAUUCCGGGUGUAGUGGUGAAAUGCGUAGAUAUCUGGAAGAACACCAAAGGCGAAGGCAGUGUCCUGGGUGGUCGCUGACGCUGAGAGGCGAAAGCCAGGGGAGCGAACGGG